GGGCGGGUAGCUCAGCGGGAGAGCACACGGCUGAAGACCGUGGGGUCGGGAGUUCAAAUCUCUCUCCGCCCA
rnacentral:tRNA from 1 species